UGGCCGCAGAAUACUGUGCUAAGGUAGCAUAAUCAUUUGUCUUAUGAUUGAAGACCAGAAUGAAAGGCUUAACGUGUAAAUCAUUAUCAUCCAUUAAUUCUAUUAAAUUAUAACAAAUAUUAAAAUAUAUUUAUUCAUCAAAAAGACGACAAGACCCUUUUGAACUUCACUAAAGUUAAACUGGGGCAGUUUAUCAACAACCUCUUAAUACACUCAAUUAACUCUCAUCCCUUCACAAGAUUAAACAAGUUACCAUAGGGAUAACAGCGCAAUUUUUCUCCUUAGCUCUCAUAUAAAGAAAAGAUUACGACCUCGAUGUUGAAUUAAUAAACCUAAUAGAAGCAAAAUUCUAUAAGAAAGUUUGUUCGACUUUUAAUUUAUUACAUGAUUUG
rnacentral:rRNA from 1 species